rnacentral:rRNA from 1 species
UUGCUUGGCGACCAUAGCGUUGUGGACCCACCUGAUUCCAUGCCGAACUCAGAAGUGAAACGCAAUAGCGCCGAUGGUAGUGUGGGG